UACGGAGGGAGCUAGCGUUGUUCGGAAUUACUGGGCGUAAAGCGCGCGUAGGCGGCUUUGUAAGUUAGAGGUGAAAGCCCGGGGCUCAACCCCGGAACUGCCUUUAAGACUGCAUCGCUUGAAUCCGGGAGAGGUGAGUGGAAUUCCGAGUGUAGAGGUGAAAUUCGUAGAUAUUCGCAAGAACACCAGUGGCGAAGGCGGCUCACUGGCCCGAUACUGACGCUGAGGUGCGAAAGCGUGGGGAGCAAACAGG
rnacentral:rRNA from 1 species